rnacentral:tRNA from 1 species
GGGCAUGUAGCGCAGUUGGUAGCGCGCUCGCUUAGCAACUUGCGUAUUCCAUGAUUACGUAAUCUCGCUGCGAGAGGUCUUGGGUUCAAUUCCCAACCUGUCCA